rnacentral:rRNA from 1 species
AGAAUCAACGCUGGCGGCGUGCCUCAGACAUGCAAGUCGAACGCGAAAGUCCCCUUCGGGGGACAAGUAGAGUGGCGCACGGGUGAGUAACACGUAGGUAAUCUACCUUUGGAUGGGGAAUAACCACCGGAAACGGUGGCUAAUACCGCAUAAUGCAGCGGCACCUAAUGGUGACAGUUGUUAAAGCGGGGGAUCGCAAGACCUCGCGUCUAAAGAGGAGCCUGCGGCGGAUUAGCUAGUUGGUAAGGUAAUGGCUUACCAAGGCUACGAUCCGUAAC